rnacentral:rRNA from 1 species
UACGUAGGGUGCAAGCGUUGUCCGGAAUCACUGGGCGUAAAGGGCGCGUAGGCGGCCUGAUAAGUAGGGGGUGAAAUCCUGCGGCUUAACCGCAGGGCUGCCUUCUAAACUGUCAGGCUCGAGCACAGUAGAGGCAGGUGGAAUUCCCGGUGUAGCGGUGGAAUGCGUAGAGAUCGGGAAGAACAUCAGUGGCGAAGGCGCUCUGCUGGACCAUAACUGACACUCAGGGACGAAAGCUAGGGGAGCGAAUGGG